rnacentral:rRNA from 1 species
UGAGACNNGGCCCNNNUUNUUACGGGNNGCAGCAGUAGGGANUNUUCCANAANNGGCGCAAGCCUGAUGGAGCAACACCNNNNUGAGUGAAGAAGGGUUUCGGNUCGUAAAGNUCUGUUGUUAAAGAAGAACACGUAUGAGAGUAACUGUUCAUACGUUGACGGUAUUUAACCAGAAAGUCACGGCUAACUACGUGCCAGCAGCCGCGGUAAUACGUAGGUGGCAAGCGUUAUCCGGAUUUAUUGGGCGUAAAGAGAGUGCAGGCGGUUUUCUAAGUCUGAUGUGAAAGCCUUCGGCUUAACCGGAGAAGUGCAUCGGAAACUGGAUAACUUGAGUGCAGAAGAGGGUAGUGGAACUCCAUGUGUAGCGGUGGAAUGCGUAGAUAUAUGGAAGAACACCAGUGGCGAAGGCGGCUACCUGGUCUGCAACUGACGCUGAGACUCGAAAGCAUGGGUAGCGAACAGGAUUAGAUACCCUGGUAGUCCAUGCCGUAAACGAUGAGUGCUAGGUGUUGGAGGGUUUCCGCCCUUCAGUGCCGGAGCUAACGCAUUAAGCACUCCGCCUGGGGAGUACGACCGCAAGGUUGAAACUCAAAGGAAUUGACGGGGGCCCGCACAAGCGGUGGAGCAUGUGGUUUAAUUCGAAGCUACGCGAAGAACCUUACCAGGUCUUGACAUCUUGCGCCAACCCUAGAGAUAGGGCGUUUCCUUCGGGAACGCAAUGACAGGUGGUGCAUGGUCGUCGUCAGCUCGUGUCGUGAGAUGUUGGGUUAAGUCCCGCAACGAGCGCAACCCUUGUUACUAGUUGCCAGCAUUAAGUUGGGCACUCUAGUGAGACUGCCGGUGACAAACCGGAGGAAGGUGGGGACGACGUCAGAUCAUCAUGCCCCUUAUGACCUGGGCUACACACGUGCUACAAUGGACGGUACAACGAGUCGCGAACUCGCGAGGGCAAGCAAAUCUCUUAAAACCGUUCUCAGUUCGGACUGCAGGCUGCAACUCGCCUGCACGAAGUCGGAAUCGCUANNAUCG